UCCUACCCCGCCCCCCACUGCAGUGACCUCCCCUUCCUCACUGCAUUGACCUUCUCCUCUCCCCACGGGCGGGGGGAUCCCUUCUACAGCCGACGACUGCAGCCAGCUCCUCGUCACCCCCCCACACCCCGCCCAGUGCAGUAACCUCUUUCCCAUCCCUCCCAGCCUCCCAGCCUUUGGCCCCUCCCACUGGUCUCAGGCUCCACCCCUCUAAGCCUCUUACCUUUCUCCUUCCUUCCCUUCCACCCAAGGAGAUCCCAGCCAUCAUGUCCAUUGAGAAGAUCUGGGCCCGGGAGAUCCUGGACUCCCGUGGGAAUCCCACGGUGGAGGUGGAUCUCUACACUGCCAAAGGGCUUUUCCGGGCUGCCGUGCCCAGUGGAGCCUCCACUGGUAUCUAUGAGGCCCUGGAGCUAAGGGAUGGGGACAAACAGCGUUACUUAGGCAAAGGUGUCUUGAAGGCAGUGGACCACAUCAACACCGCCAUCGCCCCGGCCCUCAUCAGCUCAGGUCUCUCUGUGGUGGAACAAGAGAAGCUGGACAACCUCAUGUUGGACUUGGAUGGGACUGAGAACAAGUCCAAGUUUGGGGCCAAUGCCAUCCUGGGUGUGUCCCUGGCCGUGUGUAAGGCAGGGGCGGCCGAGCAGGAAUUGCCCCUCUACCGCCACAUUGCUCAGCUGGCCGGGAACUCAGACCUCAUCCUGCCUGUGCCGGCCUUCAAUGUGAUCAAUGGAGGCUCCCAUGCUGGGAACAAGCUGGCCAUGCAGGAGUUUAUGAUCCUCCCAGUGGGCGCUGAGAGCUUUCGGGAUGCCAUGCGACUCGGGGCGGAGGUCUAUCACACACUCAAGGGCGUCAUCAAGGACAAGUAUGGCAAGGAUGCCACCAACGUGGGAGAUGAAGGUGGCUUUGCCCCCAAUAUCCUGGAGAACAGUGAAGCCUUGGAGCUGGUGAAGGAAGCCAUUGACAAGGCUGGCUACACAGAAAAGAUCGUCAUUGGCAUGGAUGUCGCCGCCUCGGAGUUUCAUCGUGAUGGCAAAUACGACUUGGACUUCAAGUCUCCCGCUAAUCCUUCCCGAUACAUCACUGGGGACCAGCUGGGGGCCCUCUACCAGGACUUUGUCAGGAACUAUCCUGUGGUCUCUAUUGAGGACCCCUUUGACCAGGACGACUGGGCUGCCUGGUCCAAGUUCACAGCCAACGUGGGGAUCCAGAUUGUGGGUGACGACCUGACAGUGACCAACCCAAAGCGAAUCGAGCGGGCCGUGGAGGAGAAGGCCUGCAACUGUCUGCUGCUGAAGGUCAACCAGAUCGGUUCGGUCACCGAAGCCAUCCAAGCGUGCAAGCUGGCCCAGGAGAAUGGCUGGGGGGUCAUGGUGAGUCACCGCUCGGGAGAGACUGAGGACACGUUCAUUGCGGACCUGGUGGUAGGGCUGUGCACAGGCCAGAUCAAGACUGGUGCCCCAUGCCGUUCCGAGCGUCUGGCUAAGUACAACCAGCUCAUGAGGUGAGGGGACCCGGGGAAUGGAAGCCCAGGGCCCAGGGGGUUAUAAGCUGUGUUUCUCCACCAUUUCAUCUCCAGUGCCCGGGGCCUGGAGGACAAACAGUAGGCAUCCAGAGAAUACUUGUUUUUGAUGGAUGGGUUUACAGAUGGCCUGAUUGACAGCCCACGGAAAGCCAGGGAAUGACCUCGCUCAGGCCAGGACCCGGGAGCAGGUGAAUCGAAGAAGAGCUGGGGGACGAAGCUCGCUUCGCCGGACAUAAUUUCCGCAAUCCCAGCGUGCUGUGAUCCCUCUACCUGCCUGGAGACUUGGAACCCCUCGCCCGUCCUCCUGGAACCUCUUCUUUCCAGUCCUGCUCGAAAUUUCACCCCAGACAACACCCCGGCUGACCUGCUGCGCUGCUCCUUGACUGGUCCAGCCCCUGCUGUCUCCGCUCUCGCCCACUCUGGGUUCCACACUCUCCACUCCUUCCUUUCUCUUCUCCCUCCUCAAAAACUGGCCAUGGACUGAGGAUGUAAGGGCAUCCAUGGAAGACCGAUCAGGGUCCGUGCCGGAGCGUCAGGGCUGGUUGUUGCGGUGUGUAGAGGGGCCGUGCGUCAUGUGUGCUUUGAGCUGGGUCUGUUCGUUUCCAGGUUGCAUAUGAGACAGGAACUGCACAGUGCUGAGUGGAGGGGAGUGCUGGCUGCGUGCUCAGGCCUGGCCUAAGGCACUGAUGUAUUAUUUAUUCAUUUAUUUAUUUUUCAUUCAUCCUGUUAAUGAUUCACUUCCUCAUAACUCCAGGGCCAGAAACUGGCCUGACUGGACGGGACCAUGUGUCUGUAUUUCAUGUGACUGUAGAUUCUGAGAUGACCUGGGGUGGGGGUCUUGCUGGAACGGGAAGGGUACAGAAAGGGGCCUCGAUGAGGGUUCCUGUGUGCGUGCCAAGCCUUAACCUCAGCCUGGCUCGGUCCAGAGGUGGGGCUGUGUGCCUGGGGCUCCUCCCCUGUCCCUCUCUCCCCAGCCCGUCUCCCCCUCGUUCGUUCUUCCUGCAGCUGCACCUGAGCACCGUCUCACUCCCCCGUGCCGUGUUCCACAGCUGCCAGCACCUCUGUGGCGUUGAAAUGAGCACCACCAUUAAAGUGUGAGUCACCGUGCA